GUUGAUUCGAAUCAGUGAAAGCGAGUCAUGUUAUCUCUCGUUCAUACUAUUGUUUCCUGUAUUCGUGACGUAUUCCAUUGAGAAGGGAAGUGACUCGGAGAGGUAUUAUCGGAAACACCUAAGCCACUCCGCAGCCACGCGAUAUGGAGCGAGAAAAAGGGAAUGACAUUGUCUCUCUCGCUCGGCGUGAGUGCAUGGCCGAGCGCGCGUACUCACAUGGACAGAUAGAAGCAUCUCUGUGUGAGAAGUGGA